AACGAACGCUGGCGGCAUGCCUAACACAUGCAAGUCGAACGAGACCUUCGGGUCUAGUUGCGCACGGGUGCGUAACGCGUGGGAACCUGCCCUUAGGUUCGGAAUAACUCCCCGAAAGGGGUGCUAAUACCGGAUAAUGUCUUCGGACCAAAGAUUUAUCGCCUUUGGAUGGGCCCGCGUUGGAUUAGCUAGUUGGUAGGGUAAAAGCCUACCAAGGCGACGAUCCAUAGCUGGUCUGAGAGGAUGAUCAGCCACACUGGGACUGAGACACGGCCCAGACUCUUACGGGAGGCAGCAGUGGGGAAUAUUGGAAAAUGGGCGAAAGCCUGAUCCAGCAAUGCCGCGUGAGUGAUGAAGGCCUUAGGGUUGUAAAGCUCUUUUACCCGGGAUGAUAAUGACAGUACCGGGAGAAUAAGCUCCGGCUAACUUCGUG
rnacentral:rRNA from 1 species